UACGAAGGGUGCAAGCGUUGUUCGGAAUUACUGGGCGUAAAGGGUGUGUAGGCGGUUGCGUAAGAUAGCGGUGAAAUACCGGGGCUCAACUCCGGAACUGCCGUUACAACUAUGUGACUAGAAUGACAGAGAGGAUAUUGGAAUACCCAGUGUAGAGGUGAAGUUCGUAGAUAUUGGGUAGAACACCGGUGGCGAAGGCGAGUAUCUGGCUGUAAAUUGACGCUGAGGCACGAAAGCAUGGGGAUCAAAC
rnacentral:rRNA from 1 species